AGUCCCGCCCCCUCGGAACGCCGGCGACCCCACGCCACGCAGAGGUAAAAGACGCAGGACGUCGGCUCGAGCCACUUCCGUGGGCGCUCGCUGAGGGGCUGGGGGCGGUGCUGACCUUGAGAGCGCGCGGGGAGGCGCAGGCGCAGCACAGUGGCUUCUCAAGCUCUACACCUCAGUGCACUGGAAUCCGAUUUUGAGAAGUUUCUGCAAAUUCACAGCACGAACAGAAGCCAGACCCACGUCUUGAAGAACUGAGUAACGCAGAAGCGCAUUCUACCUGUUUCCUAUGUUUUAGUAUGGGCAGUUUUCGUUUGUGUGGGGAAAAUAAAUUAUCAAGUGGAAAAAAUUUCCAUAUAUCUCUUAAUUUUGUGAACACGCC
rnacentral:lncRNA from 1 species